rnacentral:pre_miRNA from 10 species
CCGGCUCUCGCCCGGUGGCGUUUCUCGCUGGGGCCUCCAAAUGUUGUACCUGAGCAAGUUAGAGAAAACGCCACAUUUUGAGACGAAUUAAGAGUCCAUUUAUUU